GACGAACGCUGGCGGCGUGCCUAAUACAUGCAAGUCGAGCGGACAGAUGAGGAGCUUGCUCCUCUGACGUCAGCGGCGGACGGGUGAGUAACACGUGGGCAACCUGCCCUUAAGACUGGGAUAACUCCGGGAAACCGGGGCUAAUACCGGAUAAUGUAUCGGACCUCAUGGUCUGAUACUGAAAGGCGGCUUCGGCUGUCACUUAAGGAUGGGCACGCGGCGCAUUAGCUAGUUGGUGAGGUAACGGCUCACCAAGGCAACGAUGCGUAGCCGACCUGAGAGGGUGAUCGGCCACACUGGGACUGAGACACGGCCCAGACUCCUACGGGAGGCAGCAGUAGGGAAUCUUCCGCAAUGGACGAAAGUCUGACGGAGCAACGCCGCGUGAGUGAAGAAGGUUUUCGGAUCGUAAAGCUCUGUUGUCAGGGAAGAACAAGUACCAUAGUAACUGAUGGUACCUUGACGGUACCUGACCAGAAAGCCACGGCUAACUACGUGCCAGCAGCCGCUGUAACAC
rnacentral:rRNA from 1 species